ACGCGAUAAGUUUUAGAAAGGACUAUUCACCCCCCCUCUAGUCCGCCAUCUCGACCCUUCAAAUUGUCCAUUUUUAGCUCUCGUCUCACUUUUUCUUUUCUUCGAGGUUCCGGGCACUUGCCCCUUUUUAUUUCCUCAUAUUUUUCCUUUUCUUCUUUUUUUCAAAGCGCUCACUCUCCUAGAAUAUGUAGCAAGUGGUAGUAACCAAAAUAUCUCGAGCAUUUAUUUCACGAGGAAUAACAGGGAUAGGAUAAUGUUUUUGGCUAUUCUCUCCUUGAUAGGAGUAGAAUAAUUUUGGGUGAAUCUGGAGAUGGAAAGGAGUGGAUGUAUGUGGAUGCGUACUUCCGGAGUAGAAGCAGCAUGUAUGAGUGAACGUGCAAGUGAAUCUUGAUUUUAACCACAUGACAAGCUCCUAAGGGUCUACACAGCUUGACCACACUCAAUGCUCAUAAGCAGUAAAAAGUAAAUGUAUGGUUCCUAGUCUAAUAAGCAUGUAUAUAUGACUGUGGUAGGAUUUCAAACUCUCAUCAUACAGGAACUCAUCAUGCAACAUUUUAAGGAUUUUCAAAGAUAAAUGUUGGGUAC
rnacentral:lncRNA from 1 species